rnacentral:lncRNA from 1 species
GUUGUGUUCAUUUUGUAGUAAAGUACCCCAUGUUCAUCUUUUGUAUAUGAUGAUUAGUGAUGUAAAGAAAAGAAUGUAAUGUGCAUUUUGAGGUAAAUGCGAUGUACGAAGGAAAUGAUGCAAUGGUGUAAUGAAAUGCGAGAAUCCUAAAUGUAAGAAAUGGAUGCAAUGUACGUGAUCUAAAAUGAAUCAUAGUACUUGUGAAUGUUUAGUUUUCCUUUCUUUCACUAAUGGCUAUUGCUUACCCUCGUGUAAGCCGUUUGUGUAUGUUUCCGCUAGUGCAUUUCUUG